rnacentral:rRNA from 1 species
AUGGAUCGUGUAGGUUGCCCUGCAGGUUGGUCUGAACACAGUGGUAGAAUUGCACCUGCAAGCUCUGAACAUUCAUAUCAUCAGGUGAUUAGCCUGCUGUUUAGAUUAGGACAGAGGCUUAUCAGCAUGUGUGCGACUGACAACCCAUUGCUGCCGUGCUUGGUCGAUGUGGACUAUUCAUUCCUUAACAUAAGAAAAAUUCAAUUGUCUUCAUGGGAAAUUAAUUGCACAAUUAUUUCAGACAAGGUUCAUAGUACAGUUAUUCCUGCAUCUGCCCAACUAGGUCCAUUGAUGAUAUUGAUAUUCAUAAAUUAG